GCCGAAGUGGCGGAACAGGCAGACGCACGGGACUUAAAAUCCCGCGGGGCAUUAAACCCCGUACCGGUUCGAUUCCGGUCUUCGGCACCA
rnacentral:tRNA from 1 species